AAAAAGAAAUCUGCCAUAAUGGAGGAGUGACCUGUGCACAGGGGACAGUGGGGAACACACAGGCCUCCCUCCCAGGGCCUGGGGGACUGCCAGGCCUGCUCAGAUGGUCUGACUGUGUGUUCCCACGGGAUCCUGCAGCACAGCCCUCUUCAUACUGUGGCCCUUUUCUGAAGUUGCUUAGCUUCAAUGGAUGACACGACUUGGAUAUAUUUUGGUCCAGAUCUUUGUGACAGUGCCUGUGUGUUCAACAGAAGCUAACUUUUCCCCUUCUUUCUUGUGCUUUUCCAGCAACUUAGUAAAAGACAAGUAAGACAGGAGCUGGGGACCAUGGAAGAAACAUCCCAUGUGCUUUAUCGAAGUGCCAAGUUGGGACCACGGGCCGGGCUAGAACGAUCCAUGGAAAAGUUCUGUGCUCAGGGGAACAACUCAAAUUCAGACAUUUUGCUAGGGCUAAGGGAAAUGAGCUGGUACCUUCGAAUCAGCUUCCAGAACGCCUGCAGUGCAAGUUCUCAAUUACGGCAUGCAAAUGAUUUCCUUAAAAAUUAAGUCUAAAUUGAUUCAUUGAGGCUCUUGGAUAUUCAUCUCAUGGUCACCCCUUAGUACUCGGCUACAACAGUGAGUCUCAAAACCACCUGGAGUGCUCCUUUAAAACACAGACGACUGGGUCCCCACCCCCAGAGGUUUGGACUUGGUGGGUCUGGGUUGGGCCCAAGAACUUGCAUUUCUAGCCAGUUCCCACGUGAUGCUGCUGACCUGGGGACCUCACUUUGAGAACCACCCUGCUGGGCCUUCUUGACUUGGUGAGACAAAGUAACGGGGAACAAGUGGUACUAGAACAGUGAAUGAGGAGUGAGCUACAUGGCCAUCAACUUGCACUGAAUCGCUGGUCUGUACAGGAGAUACCACCAUCAUGAUUCCUGACAGUAGAUUCUCCAUGACUCAACAGUGGAUGGAUAAAAUUAGAAGGAAGCCACCUCUACACCAGCAGUUUAAACCUUCUGGAGUUUUCCAUUAACUUACAAUCACUGGCCGCAGCAUAGAGAUGAAGGUACAGAAUCGGCCACGUUCUUCAAUCAAAGCCUUCCGGACAGCCUGCUUUUCUGUUUCUUCCAAUAAGAGAUACUUAUCAUUGACAUCUUGGAGAGCACUGUCCAACUGAGGCUGGAUAUCACCUCUCCCUGCAAAAAACAGAGACCCAAGCACGGCUUGCUGAAAUACCAGCUUCUGGAACAAGUGCCCCUCCUCCCUGGGGUCCUUGCUGGAGUCAAAACCACAAUUUUCCAGGAUGUAAAAAAAGUAUUUAUUCAUGCCCCAAAAGGAUUUAAGGCAGCUGUUUUUCUAGGACCAGCCAUUUCCAAUUUUCAAUGCCCAAAGGGCACAUUUAGCCUGGCUUAUUCCUGACAAGGAAAAUGUCCUGGGGCAACUCUUCAUGACUUGCCUUCUCACACUGCACAACCCCCACCAACUCUUCUGCCAACACAACCCUGGAACACAGAGCCAGACAGCAUUCUUUCCUUGCAGAACAUUCUGAAGAGGCUAAGAGAUGUGGAAACAAGGUUUACUAGAAACUGUGCAAGCUGUUUCAUAAUCACAAUGUUGAGAACUGGAAAGGAUGAUCCUUUUUAAAGUUGGGGAACCACUAGCCCAACAUCGCCAUGAGGGGAAAUAGAGGCCGUGUCAGCCCCAACCAUCAAAGGAGACCUUUGUGCACUGGGUUUGCUGUAAAUGACAGAAGCCACUUCAAAAGCCUCUUUGGAGCUGUUCAGUAAAAUGCUCAGGGAACACCUGGGCACACUCAGGCAAGAUAAACCACACAGACACCUCGCAGACAGACCUCCCAGGACAGAGGGACAGCAACAAGACUCCAAAAGCAACUUGAAGUUUUGGCAGCAUGAUCAUCCACAGAGUGAAGUUCAACAUUCAGUCAAGAAGAAUCAUUCUGAUUACUUAAUUGGAAGAUCUGAUACUUCUGAAAUGAAACAUUUCACAAACUCUACUGAAAUAAGAAAUACUUUUGAUUUAUUUUUUAAAAAAUGAAUCAUUGGUUAUGGAAAGAACUAUAUGGUCUUGCAGACAGGACAAAGUUAAAGAUGUUUUGCAAGCUUAACACAACCAAAUCUGAUUUGAGAAUUAUUUUGAGGCUUGCAGCUCUGUUUGUGGCAUAAAUAUAUACAUACAUACAUACGCAGGUAUAUAUGUAUGCAAAAAUGCUUAUUGACUGUGGAAAUGACAGUUUAAGUCACUCUGUAUUUCUUUUUUCCAUGAGUCUAAUAUUGAAUUACGAUGAUUCAAAGGCUCUCAGAGUGUUGUGCUAACAUCGUAAAUGGCUAAACAUCCAAAAAAGAAAACAAUUAAAACACAACGCACACACAAUUUUCUUAAAGUUGUGGAAAAUUAGGUAGGCACAGUUGAUUGUUUUGAGCUGGUAGAAAAACCUGGGCAGCUAGCAGAGGUCUGGACAACCACGGAAAGCCCACAGCAAGGACCACACCGUGAGCAGCCACCAGAGAUUUGGGAUGGUAGACUUACCAAGAGUGUCCACUGGCGGGGGGGCACACGGUGAGAAAGUGCAGGAUA
rnacentral:lncRNA from 1 species